UACGUAGUGCGCAAGCGUUGUCCGGAAUUAUUGGGCGUAAAGAGCUCGUCGGCGGUUUGUCGCGUCUGUCGUGAAAGCUUGGGGCUUAACCCCAAGUCUGCGGUGGAUACGGGCAGACUAGAGGCAGGUAGGGGAGAACGGAAUUCCCGGUGUAGCGGUGAAAUGCGCAGAUAUCGGGAGGAACACCGGUGGCGAAGGCGGUUCUCUGGGCCUGUACUGACGCUGAGGAGCGAAAGCGUGGGGAGCGAACAGG
rnacentral:rRNA from 1 species